GCUGUUCUACUGUGUUUUGUUGCGCAUCUCAGAGGGAAAGGCCUUUGGAUUGGAAUAUUAACUGGGACUACUGAGCAGGCAACAUCAUUUGCUGUCAUAACUGCAAUGAUCAAUUGGAAAAAGCAGGUUCUUGCAUCAAUACCUGUUCUUCAUAUCUUCCUAUUUUUGCUUCGAUCGCCUCAUCCUGGAUAUCUGUUUUGGUAUAAUAAUGAUGUCUUCUCAAGCUUGCGUUAUCUUUGCUGCAAACAAAUGGAAGUUGGUCGCUCCCACCGCGACUAAAUAAUAGAGUUGUUUAAGCAUUGUGACUAAACUUUUUUCCGCACAUGAACAUUGCAGGCAUCAGAGGCAAGGAAGAGGAUCUUUGAGGGAACAUGUUCGACUAAUGACGAAUUGCUUGAUCAAAAUAAAAAAACCUGACAGAACCAAUGUGCUUGAUGAUGAGUUUGAGAAAUCGGUGCUAUUCUUGAAAUCAUCUUUUUUUCCGAUUCAUUAUCUACAUGUCUUUUCAUACUAGAACUGGAUAUAAUUCUACUCCAUUGAAGCACAAAAUAACGUUCUUGCCACAUAUAGAUGGCUUAUAGCAUAUCGAAUUCGAACCACUUAGCAACAAGUUUUACCAGGUAGGUAACUACAUAUGUUGCUAGAAACUUUCUGCUGUCGAUAUUUAUUUUCCGGGAGACAGAACGGUUUGUAGCUUAAAGGUUCGUACUCUGCUUUUAACAGAGCCGGGAAUUCCAGUGUCACUAUGUCGGAAUCCUUGCAGAUGUAAAAAAUUGUUUUCAUAAUAUUUUUUUUCCUGGAUUGAGGUUAGUAAAAUUGGUAAAAGAACGUCUUUGAAGCAUUCCAUUUUCACUCAUUCACAUCUCAAGGCGGUGAGGGUAUCCUAAGUUCAGCUUUGAUUAACUCCAUUGAAGUACAUAUUGUCGAAUUUGUAGAAGAAAAUACGGUUUUGGUUUAGAUUUAUUUUUCUAUUACCUUUUUGUUUAAAACAUGGUUAUAAGCAAAAUUUAGUGACAAGAACAUGAGAAUUGAACAAAUUGUAAUAUAUUUCAAAGUCUACAAAGAAAAUACAAAUGAUUUAUUGAUCAUAAAAGCAUACCAGUCAUAAAAGUACAUUGUGAUAAAAGAAGUUAAUAAUACUAACAAGUACACUUGAAAAACCAUUCUAUAUGUGUGUGUGUGUGUACACACCUCUCUUUCUUGAUCCAUGAAUAGUGGAUGGAUGGCUUCCUGUUCUUUUCCCUUGUGCAGCAAACAACCUCUUGCACAUCCAAAUCCAAUACUUUACACAUCUAUCUUGCACAUAGGCAAGAUAAGAGGACGGAAGGUUACUAGGUUAUAUAAUAUACGUAUGCAGGCUGAAGUGUAUAGAAUUUUAGUACUUGCUAGUAAGGAGGAGGUGGUGGCCUGUAGGGAUCAAAGAAUGGUGGUGGGGGAGGACCAGGGGGUCCAGGAGGUGGAGGUGGAUGGUGGUGAUGAGGGGGUGGUUGAUGACCAAAGGGUCUUGGAGGAGGCGGUGGUGGUGCAAAGGAUCUGGUGGUGGAGCAUCAAAGGGCCGAGGUGGAGGAGGUGGUGCAAAACGAUGACGUGGUGGGCUGUCAAAGGGUCGAUGUGGAGGAGGAGGUGGCGGUGCAAAAGGAUCUGGUGGUGGAGGAGGUGCAAAGGAUCUGGUGGUGGAGGAGGAGGGUGUCUACGGAAUGCCAUUUUCUCUUAAACCUUUAGUUGCAAACACAGUGGUUUCUAUUUUUAUUU
rnacentral:lncRNA from 1 species